GGUGGUCAUAAUUUUAUGCCUGAUCGGUGUAAACUGUAAUAAAUAAAUAAAUAAUAAAAUAAUGAAAUACGAAAAAAAUAUGAUAUGACAAUAAGAAAAUUAUUUCAGCAUGAAACAUCGGCAGCUGUUUUUUUUUUGUAGUUAUUAUAUAUCUCAUUUAAUUUGUAGAUGUGUUAAACUAUUUAACAUCAUGAUCACUUACAAAUCAGGCAAAUAAUGUAUCUUGUAACGAUGGUGCUUGUCAAUGUCUGGUAUGUAUUAGUUGGUAAUCGAACAGUCGGUACUCGUAAUCAUGAUGUUGGAUGUGUGAGAAAUGGGCAGGCGGCAGAACUGAGUGAUUUUGACAAGGGCCAAAUUAAUAUGGCCAAAUGGCUGGGCUGGAGCAUCUCCGAAAUGGCAAAGCUUGUGUGUUGCUAUCGACAGUGGCCCUAGGAGGGACAAACCACGAACUGGUGGGGUGUUGGGGGCCCAAGGCUCAUUGAUACCCAAGGGCAACAAAGUCGAUCCCAUUUGGUCUGAACUAACAGAAGGGCACAAGUCACAGAUUUUUUAAUGAUGGUUACUCAAGGAAUGUGUCACAACACACGACACAUGCAUCUCACCCUGCUGACCCCCUGUCCACCGUCAAAAGCUCCUACAAUGGACACGCGAGCAUCAGAACUGGACCUUGGAAUAAUGAUAAAGGUCACCCUCUCUGAUGAGUCUCGUUUUCUUUUACUUCACGUGGACAGCCUGGUAGGCGUGUGUAGCCCAUGUGGGGAGAUGAUGGCACUGGGAUGCACUGUGUAGAGAAGACAAGCUGGUGCAGGAAGUGUGAUGCUCUGGGCAUUGUUCUGCUGGGAAGUAUUGUCAGAUGCUACAUAUCUAAAGAUUGUUGUGAACCAGGUUAACCCCUAAUGGUGAUGUUAUUCCCUGAUGGUAGUGGUCUCUUUCAGCAGAAUAAUGCACUCUGCCACACCUUACACAUUGCUCUGGAACAGUUUGAGGAGCAUUAAGAAGACUUCAGGGUGUUUCCCAGAUGUCAAUCAAUGUAUAGCAAUGUCAGAGAUACAGCACAGACCUUUGCUAAGUGUGGGUCUCCUAGACAGAUGCUGUUUUUGUUGGGUGAUUUUAAUAAAUGCAAUGUCAUGACAGAAACUAAUUACUGCAUCCAUUUACUAAUUACUUUUAUGUAGGCUCCAUAAUACCAGUAAAAACAACAGAAUAUUUUCUGAAUAAUAAACAAUAGAUUAUUAAUAUGACAGAAAAUCAGGAGGACAUAUAACAAUAUUAUUAUGAUUAUGAUUGAUUAUGAUUAUUAUUAUUAAGCAUAAGAAUAAGGUGGAGAAUAAGUUCCUUUCUGGAUAUAUCAGGGUGGCUUGAGGGGGUUUCAGCAUUAUGAUGGGUAAAAUCAGCUUUUAUUUCAGUUUUCAAUAAACUGAGUGGAUCUUCUGUCUGCAUCAAAUAAUUAGUAACAAGCCAAGGAAUAUAAAUGCACAUUAUGAUCAUUCACAAAUCAAAAGAAAAGGGGAUUAGACACAGUUGGGAACACUGAUUACAGGGCACUGUUGUUAACAAAACAUAGAUGAACAUGAUACCAAGGGGAUUGGGGCUAGAGAGAAACAAAGGGGAUGAGAAGGGCAGACAAACAAAAUGGCAAAUCGUGACAAGGGAUGUUGUAAUAUUGAGGUACACUGAGAGACCAGUUCAUUAUGAAUACCUCCCCUACGUGGUUAAAAGUAUGUGGAUACCCAAACAUCACAUCCUUAAGCACUUGUUGAAUGUUUUAUUUCAAAACCAAGUGUACUUAUACUUGUACACUUUGCACUUCUAGUUGACUGGGGCGGCUCUAGCAAGGCAGAAAUUACUUAGCCCUAUGACUUAUUAUACCGCUAGUAUUUGUCUAGGCAAAUAUAUUUGCCCUCUGUUAGCAAUGGGUGUGGCUUAAAUAGCCAAAGCCAAAAAUUAGAAGAGAUGGCCACAUAGUUUUGACCAUAUAGUAUAACUUUUAUCAGGCACUACUACCAAACUGUCCACUGCAAUGAAUCAUAGACCCACAACUGACCAGAUAUAAUUUUGGUGGUGGACUAUUCUCAGCCCUGCUGUGACACUGCAUGCUAAUGGCACAAAAAUAUGCAUUACAGAUUUCAUAUAGAAUUUAAGAAUUAAUGUUUAAGAAUAGAGAAUAGAAUUUAUUUUAAGUCAGUUUCUGCCUAUGGAAAACAAAUGUUUUAUGGCCUGAAUUUAAAAAAUGGUCAAAGAUAUUGGUGUCGUCUUUGCGCAGACACUUUGAAAUUGGCCACAUUCUGAUUUCUACUCUCUGAAAUAUAAGAGGCAAUACAGACACUCUUCUUUAAGCUUCUUUAAGUAAUAUCAACUUUUAGGGGCCUUUGUUCCUCUACAAAUGAGAACGUGGGGAGAAUUCCUAGUGGACCGGUUACUGUGAGCUAAUGAAUAAACUCACACAUAUAAGCACAAGAAUGUUAAGACAUACUACAAAAGCUACAUCCCAGUGUUCAUACAUAGUAAUUUAGGAGCUAAAAUAGUGACCCCCCCCCCUCCUGCCUCAGGAGUUUCUGUUCGAGAGCUACAUAAAUCCACUUUUCUGCAGCUGUUAUUAUUUAAUGUACCGCUAUCAGGUUAACAGGAAAGAAUAAAAGCUCUGGGUCAGCACAACUAUAUGAUGUCCCCAGGUCAAGACUGGAUGAUGUUCCUCAAGUGGAAUAGUCACGAUUUGCUGAUUGUAACAGUCUUGUACAGUAGAUAGAGAUUAGAUGAAGCAGAAGUCUGGCUCUUAUUCUCACUUCCCAUUCCACCUUAAAUGAUGUAUGAUUUACACCUUCAGAUACCUAGUAUGUAACUGCUAUACUAUUAAGGUGGAACAGAAAUUCAAUUAAGAAAUUAACCAAUGUAGCAGUUUUCAAAUGUGAAUCAUGGGCAACAGAGGCAAGAACGGCAAAAAACCAAGAUGCCUUGUGACUGUCACAAUUAUGUCACAUUUAAGAUUUCGCCAGUUUUCAUUCUAUCACUUGCUACUGCUGUUAUCUCAGUGUGGCAUAUAAAUAAUAAAAAAGAGAAAGAAAUUAACAACACAGAAAUGCACAGAUUUUAGAAAAAACUAACUAACUUUACUGCUACGAUUAAAAGACCUCCAUUUAUCCUACUGAAUAGUGAGAUUCAUUGUUCAUUAAUUUAUUCAUGUAUCUAUAUCCAUAUAUCAAGGGGCAUGGGAGGUCUCAAGAUGAUGUUCUUAGAAUAACAAAGUCUGUUAAUACCAACAAAAUACCAAAUGCAAAAUACCAAAAAACUUCAGAGAAUGAAACAUGAUAGGAAGCACCGUAAAUAAAACAGAACAAAAAGUAGGAGAAAAAAAAACGUACAACCUACAUCCACAGGAUUCAAAAACAGACACUUUAUACAAAAUAUCUAAAGAUUUACAUGUUUUCAGUUGUUACGUCCAUAGGACGUAUGUUUUGUUUUGCUUGCUUCCCUUUCGUUCUUUCUCUCUCGCUCUCUUUCUCUCUCUCUCUCUCUCUCUUAUUCUCUCGCUUAUUAGGAACCCGCCCACUUGUGCGUGUGAUUGGCUGGAGUCCCGUAACGAAAUUUAAUCUGAUUGGCUGGCUGAAAUUGCAUGGCGUAUAUCUUCGACGGCUGCGCCCGGAUGUCAUCGAGGCUUUCCUCCAUGGCGGCUUGGGGCGAUUGUUUUUAGAUCCGAACCGCAGCGCAGCUUGUUUGUUUUAUUGCUAGCGAUUGUCUACUCUCCUCUCAAAUGAAAUAGCUUAGCUUUACCUCUUGUUCUAUACCCAGUUAUCUCUGCAGUUAAACUGUAAGCUCAUGAUCUGUCUCUGUAAAUGUUCACUCUUAUGCCGACCAGGUUGUAGGAGUGGGUGCCAUUUCUUUUGAUCUUGUUUUCUCCUGUUUUUGGUAUAGUUAGGGAGUCAGGAAAGACUGACUGUACUUUUGUUUCUUUGUUUGCAUAGGUAAGUUAGUUCUCUAGCAUCUCUAGCUAGGCUGGUUAUGUUUAUUGUUUUGGCGCAUGCCCACUCUGACGUUCUCCUGUGUCGUAUGUACAAAAGAGCAGCAUAAAGAGAAUAACACGAUUUGACCUGUUUAAACGUCAACUGGCUCUCUUUUGUCUUUUUUUUAAUGUUAUGAUCAUCUCAAACCCCUAGACAGGUCGUAACAUAAAUUUGGGGCUCGGCCUUUUUUUUUUGGUUAUGUGCUGGGUACUCGUUUGCUUGGCUGUUUUCUUGUGUGUGUGGGGGGGAUGUGUCUUGGGCUGUGAUGUUUUCAUUAAGUGCAUUUAUUAGCGGUAGGCACCGACCCAGCUUUGAUCCUUCGUUUGAAGGAGCUGGAGCUUCAGCGGCAGUUAAAUCGUGCCUUGGAGAUCGAGGCUGAGAGGGCUGUGAAGCUGCGACAGCUGGAGUUGGAGGCAGGAAACGCCGGACAGCCUGUUCCGGCGCCACGCAACUCUGCUCCGCCGUUAUUUGCUGCUACGCCAGCUGUGGAGCGUCCGGUACCGUCACCACGCCGCUCUGUGUCAUUUCGACCUUAUGCUGAUGAGGUUGCUGCUUUUGACGUGAGUAAACAUAUUAAGUUGGUCCCAAAGUUCCGUGAAUCUGAAGUUGAUUCAUAUUUUGUUGCUUUUGAGCGAGUUGCUACAACACUGCGUUGGCCGCAAGGAGUUUGGCCAAUUCUGCUACAAUGUACAUUAGUGGGAAAAGCUCAGGAAGUGUAUUCUGCUCUGCCGAUUGAAGAGAGUUUAGAUUAUGAAGUAGUGAAAUCUGCUGUGCUACGUGCGUAUGAACUUGUUCCUGAAGCAUACAGACAAAACUACAGAGCCCACUCGAAAACAGCCAACCAGACUUAUGUAGAAUUCGCUAGAGAGAAGAGACAUCUGUUUAAUAAGUGGUGUAACGCUAGUCAAGUAUUUACGUUUGAUCAGUUGCAGGAAUUAAUGCUUUUAGAAGAUUUUAAGAGUUGUUUGCCUGAGAAUCUGGUUGUAUACUUGAAUGAGCAGAAAUUUUCUAGUCUUGCUGAUGCUGCUGUUGCUGCUGAUGAGUUUGCUUUGACACAUAAAAGCACUUUCCCUGUACUGGCUCGCAAUGAGACGACCAAGUCCAGAACCUUUCGUUCAAGUCUGAUCUGGCCGUGGAUAAUCAAGACACUCGUCAAGGUACACCUCCGCGUUCUAGGGAAACGCGUGAGUGUUUUUAUUGUCAUAAACCUGGCCAUCUCAUUGCUGACUGCCGUGUGCUUCAGAAAAAACAGACUUCGCCUUCUCGAAAAAGUGUAGCAUUAAUACAGUCUGCUGCGUUUGCCAACCGCCCCACUGUUUUAAAUGAUGAAUGUCGCCAUGUAGGUUUUGAACCGUUUAUUCUGCAGGGGUACGUUUCCGUUUCUAAAGCUUCUGAUGAUAAACAGCCUGUUACCAUCCUUAGAGAUACAGGAGCAGCUCAGUCUUUUAUCUUGGAUAACGUUCUUAGUUUGUCAGACGACACAUACUGCGGUUAUGAUGUCCUAGUUCAGGGAAUCGGCGGUGACACGUGCUCAGGCGCGCAAAGGUGAUGAGUUGGAUUUGGGUGACACGUUUAUGGCUGCUGAAACUUGGCCCUCCUGUGAAUCCAAAUCAGAGCUUGUAUGUUUCGAUGUCCCUGAAGCUGAAUCUACUCCCAAGUUGAGUGCUCAUGCUUUGGAUGUAGAUGUAGACUGUGUAGCUUCUCGUAAUUUUCUUAUUGAGGCCCAACAAGCAGAUCCUUCUUUGGAUAAAUGUAGGCAGCUGGGUUUAGAAACGUCGUCUACUAGUGAUAAGCAUGUGGCUUAUUUUUUUGAUAAAGGUUUGCUGCUGCGUAAAUGGACUCCUUCUCCUCCUGCUGAUCUAGAGUGCAAUGCCGUAUGUCAGAUUGUUAUCCCCAAAGUGUGCCGACAGCAAGUUUUAAGUUUAGCACAUGAUCAUUGUCUAGCUGGACAUCUUGGUGUCACGAAAACCUAUAAGCGUAUAUGACAACAUUUCUUUUGGCCUGGGUUGAAAGCAGAUGUAGUAAAGUACUGUAAAUCUUGUCAUACGUGCCAAGUAGUGGGGAAGCCCAACCAAGCCAUCCCUCCUGCGCCUUUGCACCCAAUUCCAGUGAUGGAAGAGCCUUUUGAGAGAAUUAUUUUAGAUUGUGUUGGUCCUUUACCGCGAACCAAGUCAGGAAACCGAUUUUUAUUAACAAUCAUGUGUGCUGCUACUCGCUUUCCAGAAGCCAUUCCUAUUCGCACGUUGCGGGCCAAAGCCAUUAUUAAAGCUUUGAUUAAAUUUUGCUCUACUUUCGGGCUUCCAAAAUGUAUCCAAACAGACCAGGGGUCAAAUUGUAUGUCCAAGAUAUUUGCACAGGUUUUACAACAGCUUUCGGUCAAACAUAAAGUUUCCAGUGCUUAUCAUCCCGAGAGUCAAGGAGCUUUAGAGCGCUUCCAUCAGACUUUUAAGUCCAUGCUGCGUAAAUAUUGCGCUGAGUCAGGGAAUGAGUGGGAUGAAGGUGUGCCUUUAGUCCUCUUUGCUAUUCGUGAAACUGUUCAGGAGUCGACUUUGUUUAGCCCAGCCCAGCUUGUUUUUGGUCAUUCUGUUCGAGGUCCGCUGAAGAUUUUGAAAGAGAAAUGGAUGUCAGAGUCGGAGCCGAAUCAAAAUGUUCUUGAUUAUGUCAGUCAGUUCAGGGAGCGUCUGCAUGCAGCUUGUACAGCGGCUAAAUCAACGCUAACUACUUCUCAAAGCACUAUGAAGCGGCGCUUCGAUAAGAGAACAGUUCUUAGAUCUUUUCAGCCUGGAGAUGAUGUUCUGGUUCUAUUACCACUUGUAGGUUCCUCUUUACAAGCUAGGUUUUCUGGUCCUUAUCGGAUCGAGUCCAAGCUUAGUGAUACAGACUACGUCAUUCGUACUCCUGACCGUAGCCGAAAAACGCGAGUUUGUCAUAUUAAUAUGCUUAAGACUUAUGUCUCUCGAGAAGAAAGUACCUCAGAUGAUUUGAAGCAAGUCUCCUCUGAUAACUCUGGUUUUAGCCUUCCUGUUGCAUCCGUUUCUGUGUUUUCGAGCUCUGGUGUUGAUGAUGAUGAUGAUGAUGAUGAUGAUGAUGAUGAUGAUAAUGGUUUAGAUGCGUGUUUGGCUCCUGCACUUUGUGCACGUUUGUCAAAUUCUAGUAUUUUAAGUGACUUGUCCUCAUUUUUAUCUGAUCUCGCUGUCAGUGAGCAACAGGAGAUGGUAAAUUUGAUUGCAGAGUUUCCAAACCUUUUUUCAGAUGUUCCUAGACGUACUCAUGUCAUCGAACAUGACAUCGAUGUUGAUGGUCACGCUCCAAUUAAACAGAAUUCAUAUCGAAUAAAUCCAACAAAACGUGCUAUUAUGAAGUCAGAAGUACAAUAUCUCCUUGAUAAUGGUUUGGCAAUCCCUAGUUUUAGUCCCUGGAGCUCACCCUGUCUUUUAGUUCCUAAGCCUGAUGGUACCUCACGUUUCUGUACUGAUUACCGUAAAGUAAACGCAGUGACUCGUUCAGAUUCUUUUCCUCUCCCUCGUAUUGACGACUGUGUAGAUAGAGUUGGAUCAGCUAAAUAUGUCAGUAAGCUGGAUCUACUUAAGGGUUAUUGGCAGGUGCCUUUGACAGCUCGAGCUUCUGAUAUUUCUGCCUUCGUUACUCCUGAUAGCUUUCUACAAUACACAGUGAUGGCUUUUGGGAUGAAAAAUGCACCUGCAACAUUCCAAAGACUGAUGAAUCAGGUUUUGUUUGAUGUAUCCCAUUGUGAAGCUUACCUCGAUGAUGUUAUCAUUUAUACAGAAACGUGGGAUGAGCACCUAUCUGUUCUUCGAACGAUUUUUCAGCGCUUAGACGCAGCUUCAUUAACUUUGAAUUUAGCCAAAUGUGAGUUCGGAAAAGCCACCGUAGUUUACUUGGGGAAGGAAGUUGGACAGGGUAAAGUUCGCCCAGUAAAUGCCAAGGUUGCGACUAUUCAAGAAUUCCCUGUUCCUUCUACAAAACGUGAACUGCGCCGCUUCCUAGGAAUGGCUGGAUAUUACAGGAGUUUUUGUCGAAAUUGUGCUUGUAUUGCCUCUCCUUUAACAGACAUUUGAGUUCUGCGUGUUCUUUUAUUUGGACAGCUGACUGUCAGAGUGCUUUUGACUCUAUUAAGGCCCUGUUGUGCAGCUCCCCUGUUCUGUCUGCACCUAACUUUGCACUGCCAUUUAAGCUGGAGGUAGAUGCCAGUGCUACUGGUGCUGGUGCUGUACUUCUACAGGAAAAUAAUUCGGGAAUCGAUCACCCCGUGUGUUAUUUUUCAAAAAAAAAUUCAAUCAGCAUCAACUUAAGUAUUCGACUAUCGAAAAAGAAACUUUGGCUUUGUUACUUGCUUUACAGCAUUUUGAAGUCUAUGUAGGCUCUAGCUCACAGCCUGUUCAGGUAUUCACAGAUCACAAUCCACUCUCUCGCAUGUAUAACAGUAAUCAAAGGCUGAUGCGGUGGGCUUUGCUAGCUCAAGGGUACUCACUGGAGAUUCGGCACAAGAAGGGCACAGAUAAUGUAAUGGCUGAUGCCUUUUCUCGUGUGUGAAACUUUUAUGGGGGGGGGGAGUGUUACGUCCAUAGGACGUAUGUUUUGUUUUGCUUGCUUCCCUUUCGUUCUUUCUCUCUCGCUCUCUUUCUCUCUCUCUUAUUCUCUCGCUUAUUAGGAACCCGCCCACUUGUGCGUGUGAUUGGCUGGAGUCCCGUAACGAAAUUUAAUCUGAUUGGCUGGCUGAAAUUGCAUGGCGUAUAUCUUCGACGGCUGCGCCCGGAUGUCAUCGAGGCUUUCCUCCAUGGCGGCUUGGGGCGAUUGUUUUUAGAUCCGAACCGCAGCGCAGCUUGUUUGUUUGUUUGUGUGUUUGUUUGUUUUAUUGCUAGCGAUUGUCUACUCUCCUCUCAAAUGAAAUAGCUUAGCUUUACCUCUUGUUCUAUACCCAGUUAUCUCUGCAGUUAAACUGUAAGCUCAUGAUGGGUCUCUGUAAAUGUUCACUCUUAUGCCGACCAGGUUGUAGGAGUGGGUGCCAUUUCUUUUGAUCUUGUUUUCUCCUGUUUUUGGUAUAGUUAGGGAGUUAGGAAAGACUGACUGUACUUUUGUUUCUUUAUGUUUGCAUAGGUAAGUUAGUUCUCUAGCAUCUCUAGCUAGGCUGGUUAUGUUUAUUGUUUUGGCGCAUGCCCACUCUGACGUUCUCCUGUGUCGUAUGUACAAAAGAGCAGCAUAAAGAGAAUAACACGAUUUGACCUGUUUAAACGUCAACUGGCUCUCUUUUGUCUUUUUUUUAUGUUAUGAUCAUCUCAAACCCCUAGACAGGUCGUAACAUAAACUGGGGGCUCGUCCUCUUUUUGGUUAUGUGCUGGGUACUCGUUUGCUUGGCUGUUUUCUUGUGUGUGUGGGGGGAUGUGUCUUGGGCUGUGAUGUUUUCAUUAAGUGCAUUUAUUAGUGCGCCGUCCGUAGAGCAGUUUGAGCAGUGUCGUAAGGCUGAUUUACUACAACUCGCAGAGCAUUAUGAUAUUGGGGUGGACCGUAACGUUAGAAAAGCAGAGCUUAAAUCUUCUAUCUUUGGCGUGUUGGUGGCGAGGGGCAUACUUUUUGAGGGGCCUUGUCCUGUGUCAGAAGGUGCGGGUGCUGUGGAGGAGGUCAGUUUAGCGGCCAGGGCGGAGGCCGGGGUCGGGGCUGUACCUCCGCGCAUAGAUCCCGUACGCCUGCCAGCGGUAGGCACCGACCCAGCUUUGAUCCUUCGUUUGAAGGAGCUGGAGCUUCAGCGACAGUUAAAUCGUGCCUUGGAGAUCGAGGCUGAGAGGGCUGUGAAGCUGCGACAGCUGGAGUUGGAGGCAGGAAACGCCGGACAGCCUGUUCCGGCGCCACGCAACUCUGCUCCGCCGUUAUUUGCUGCUACGCCAGCUGUGGAGCGUCCGGUACCGUCACCACGCCGCUCUGUGUCAUUUCGACCUUAUGCUGAUGAGGUUGCUGCUUUUGACGUGAGUAAACAUAUUAAGUUGGUCCCAAAGUUCCGUGAAUCUGAAGUUGAUUCAUAUUUUGUUGCUUUUGAGCGAGUUGCUACAACACUGCGUUGGCCGCAAGGAGUUUGGCCAAUUCUGCUACAAUGUACAUUAGUGGGAAAAGCUCAGGAAGUGUAUUCUGCUCUGCCGAUUGAAGAGAGUUUAGAUUAUGAAGUAGUGAAAUCUGCUGUGCUACGUGCGUAUGAACUUGUUCCUGAAGCAUACAGACAAAACUACAGAGCCCACUCGAAAACAGCCAACCAGACUUAUGUAGAAUUCGCUAGAGAGAAGAGACAUCUGUUUAAUAAGUGGUGUAACGCUAGUCAAGUAUUUACGUUUGAUCAGUUGCAGGAAUUAAUGCUUUUAGAAGAUUUUAAGAGUUGUUUGCCUGAGAAUCUGGUUGUAUACUUGAAUGAGCAGAAAUUUUCUAGUCUUGCUGAUGCUGCUGUUGCUGCUGAUGAGUUUGCUUUGACACAUAAAAGCACUUUCCCUGUACUGGCUCGCAAUGAGACGACCAAGUCCAGAACCUUUCGUUCAAGUCUGAUCUGGCCGUGGAUAAUCAAGACACUCGUCAAGGUACACCUCCGCGUUCUAGGGAAACGCGUGAGUGUUUUUAUUGUCAUAAACCUGGCCAUCUCAUUGCUGACUGCCGUGUGCUUCAGAAAAAACAGACUUCGCCUUCUCGAAAAAGUGUAGCAUUAAUACAGUCUGCUGCGUUUGCCAACCGCCCCACUGUUUUAAAUGAUGAAUGUCGCCAUGUAGGUUUUGAACCGUUUAUUCUGCAGGGGUACGUUUCCGUUUCUAAAGCUUCUGAUGAUAAACAGCCUGUUACCAUCCUUAGAGAUACAGGAGCAGCUCAGUCUUUUAUCUUGGAUAACGUUCUUAGUUUGUCAGACGACACAUACUGCGGUUAUGAUGUCCUAGUUCAGGGAAUCGAACUUAGUCCUGUCUCUGUUCCACUGCACUCCAUACUUUUAGAGUCUGACUUGGUUUCUGGUGAAGUUAAGGUUGGAGUUCGGUCUCAUCUGCCUGUUGCUGGUACCACAUUUAUAUUGGGUAAUGACUUAGCUGGUGGAAAGGUAACUCCUGUUCCUGAAGUCAUUAGCGAGCCUAGAAUAACUGCUGGAGAGGACGCUUUGCUUCAGAAAUUUCCCUCUGUUUUUCCUGCAUGUGCGGUGACACGUGCUCAGGCGCGCAAAGGUAAUGAGUUGGAUUUGGGUGACACGUUUAUGGCUGCUGAAACUUGGCCCUCCUGUGAAUCCAAAUCAGAGCUUGUAUGUUUCGAUGUCCCUGAAGCUGAAUCUACUCCCAAGUUGAGUGCUCAUGCUUUGGAUGUAGAUGUAGACUGUGUAGCUUCUCGUAAUUUUCUUAUUGAGGCCCAACAAGCAGAUCCUUCUUUGGAUAAAUGUAGGCAGCUGGGUUUAGAAACGUCGUCUACUAGUGAUAAGCAUGUGGCUUAUUUUUUUGAUAAAGGUUUGCUGCUGCGUAAAUGGACUCCUUCUCCUCCUGCUGAUCUAGAGUGCAAUGCCGUGUGUGGUUGGUAUAGUGUAGUGGGUAACAUCUCUGCCUUCCACGCUGUAGGCUGGGGUUCAAUCCCCACCUGGGCAAACACCCUACGCUUUAUCAAUAAGAGUCCUUGGGCAAGACUCCUAACACUACCUUCGCCUACCUGUGUAAAAAUGAUGAAAUUGUAAGUUGCUCUGGAUAAGAGCGUCUGCCAAAUGCUGUAAAUGUCAGAUUGUUAUCCCCAAAGUGUGCCGACAGCAAGUUUUAAGUUUAGCACAUGAUCAUUGUCUAGCUGGACAUCUUGGUGUCACGAAAACCUAUAAGCGUAUAUGACAACAUUUCUUUUGGCCUGGGUUGAAAGCAGAUGUAGUAAAGUACUGUAAAUCUUGUCAUACGUGCCAAGUAGUGGGGAAGCCCAACCAAGCCAUCCCUCCUGCGCCUUUGCACCCAAUUCCAGUGAUGGAAGAGCCUUUUGAGAGAAUUAUUUUAGAUUGUGUUGGUCCUUUACCGCGAACCAAGUCAGGAAACCGAUUUUUAUUAACAAUCAUGUGUGCUGCUACUCGCUUUCCAGAAGCCAUUCCUAUUCGCACGUUGCGGGCCAAAGCCAUUAUUAAAGCUUUGAUUAAAUUUUGCUCUACUUUCGGGCUUCCAAAAUGUAUCCAAACAGACCAGGGGUCAAAUUGUAUGUCCAAGAUAUUUGCACAGGUUUUACAACAGCUUUCGGUCAAACAUAAAGUUUCCAGUGCUUAUCAUCCCGAGAGUCAAGGAGCUUUAGAGCGCUUCCAUCAGACUUUUAAGUCCAUGCUGCGUAAAUAUUGCGCUGAGUCAGGGAAUGAGUGGGAUGAAGGUGUGCCUUUAGUCCUCUUUGCUAUUCGUGAAACUGUUCAGGAGUCGACUUUGUUUAGCCCAGCCCAGCUUGUUUUUGGUCAUUCUGUUCGAGGUCCGCUGAAGAUUUUGAAAGAGAAAUGGAUGUCAGAGUCGGAGCCGAAUCAAAAUGUUCUUGAUUAUGUCAGUCAGUUCAGGGAGCGUCUGCAUGCAGCUUGUACAGCGGCUAAAUCAACGCUAACUACUUCUCAAAGCACUAUGAAGCGGCGCUUCGAUAAGAGAACAGUUCUUAGAUCUUUUCAGCCUGGAGAUGAUGUUCUGGUUCUAUUACCACUUGUAGGUUCCUCUUUACAAGCUAGGUUUUCUGGUCCUUAUCGGAUCGAGUCCAAGCUUAGUGAUACAGACUACGUCAUUCGUACUCCUGACCGUAGCCGAAAAACGCGAGUUUGUCAUAUUAAUAUGCUUAAGACUUAUGUCUCUCGAGAAGAAAGUACCUCAGAUGAUUUGAAGCAAGUCUCCUCUGAUAACUCUGGUUUUAGCCUUCCUGUUGCAUCCGUUUCUGUGUUUUCGAGCUCUGGUGUUGAUGAUGAUGAUGAUGAUGAUGAUGAUGAUGAUAAUGGUUUAGAUGCGUGUUUGGCUCCUGCACUUUGUGCACGUUUGUCAAAUUCUAGUAUUUUAAGUGACUUGUCCUCAUUUUUAUCUGAUCUCGCUGUCAGUGAUCAACAGGAGAUGGUAAAUUUGAUUGCAGAGUUUCCAAACCUUUUUUCAGAUGUUCCUAGACGUACUCAUGUCAUCGAACAUGACAUCGAUGUUGAUGGUCACGCUCCAAUUAAACAGAAUUCAUAUCGAAUAAAUCCAACAAAACGUGCUAUUAUGAAGUCAGAAGUACAAUAUCUCCUUGAUAAUGGUUUGGCAAUCCCUAGUUUUAGUCCCUGGAGCUCACCCUGUCUUUUAGUUCCUAAGCCUGAUGGUACCUCACGUUUCUGUACUGAUUACCGUAAAGUAAACGCAGUGACUCGUUCAGAUUCUUUUCCUCUCCCUCGUAUUGACGACUGUGUAGAUAGAGUUGGAUCAGCUAAAUAUGUCAGUAAGCUGGAUCUACUUAAGGGCUAUUGGCAGGUGCCUUUGACAGCUCGAGCUUCUGAUAUUUCUGCCUUCGUUACUCCUGAUAGCUUUCUACAAUACACAGUGAUGGCUUUUGGGAUGAAAAAUGCACCUGCAACAUUCCAAAGACUGAUGAAUCAGGUUUUGUUUGAUGUAUCCCAUUGUGAAGCUUACCUCGAUGAUGUUAUCAUUUAUACAGAAACGUGGGAUGAGCACCUAUCUGUUCUUCGAACGAUUUUUCAGCGCUUAGACGCAGCUUCAUUAACUUUGAAUUUAGCCAAAUGUGAGUUCGGAAAAGCCACCGUAGUUUACUUGGGGAAGGAAGUUGGACAGGGUAAAGUUCGCCCAGUAAAUGCCAAGGUUGCGACUAUUCAAGAAUUCCCUGUUCCUUCUACAAAACGUGAACUGCGCCGCUUCCUAGGAAUGGCUGGAUAUUACAGGAGUUUUUGUCGAAAUUGUGCUUGUAUUGCCUCUCCUUUAACAGACAUUUGAGUUCUGCGUGUUCUUUUAUUUGGACAGCUGACUGUCAGAGUGCUUUUGACUCUAUUAAGGCCCUGUUGUGCAGCUCCCCUGUUCUGUCUGCACCUAACUUUGCACUGCCAUUUAAGCUGGAGGUAGAUGCCAGUGCUACUGGUGCUGGUGCUGUACUUCUACAGGAAAAUAAUUCGGGAAUCGAUCACCCCGUGUGUUAUUUUUCAAAAAAAAAUUCAAUCAGCAUCAACUUAAGUAUUCGACUAUCGAAAAAGAAACUUUGGCUUUGUUACUUGCUUUACAGCAUUUUGAAGUCUAUGUAGGCUCUAGCUCACAGCCUGUUCAGGUAUUCACAGAUCACAAUCCACUCUCUCGCAUGUAUAACAGUAAUCAAAGGCUGAUGCGGUGGGCUUUGCUAGCUCAAGGGUACUCACUGGAGAUUCGGCACAAGAAGGGCACAGAUAAUGUAAUGGCUGAUGCUUUUUCUCGUGUGUGAAACUUUUAUGGGGGGGUGGGAGUGUUACGUCCAUAGGACGUAUGUUUUGUUUUGCUUGCUUCCCUUUCGUUCUUUCUCUCUCUUUCUCUCUCUCUCUCUCUCUUAUUCUCUCGCUUAUUAGGAACCCGCCCACUUGUGCGUGUGAUUGGCUGGAGUCCCGUAACGAAAUUUAAUCUGAUUGGCUGGCUGAAAUUGCAUGGCGUAUAUCUUCGACGGCUGCGCCCGGAUGUCAUCGAGGCUUUCCUCCAUGGCGGCUUGGGGCGAUUGUUUUUAGAUCCGAACCGCAGCGCAGCUUGUUUGUUUGUUUUAUUGCUAGCGAUUGUCUACUCUCCUCUCAAAUGAAAUAGCUUAGCUUUACCUCUUGUUCUAUACCCAGUUAUCUCUGCAGUUAAACUGUAAGCUCAUGAUCUGUCUCUGUAAAUGUUCACUCUUAUGCCGACCAGGUUGUAGGAGUGGGUGCCAUUUCUUUUGAUCUUGUUUUCUCCUGUUUUUGGUAUAGUUAGGGAGUUAGGAAAGACUGACUGUACUUUUGUUUCUUUAUGUUUGCAUAGGUAAGUUAGUUCUCUAGCAUCUCUAGCUAGGCUGGUUAUGUUUAUUGUUUUGGCGCAUGCCCACUCUGACGUUCUCCUGUGUCGUAUGUACAAAAGAGCAGCAUAAAGAGAAUAACACGAUUUGACCUGUUUAAACGUCAA